ACGCUCGACACCUACGGGAGGCAGCAGUGGGGAAUAUUGCACAAUGGGGGAAACCCUGAUGCAGCGACGCCGCGUGGAGGAAGAAGGUCUUCGGAUUGUAAACUCCUGUUGUUAGGGGAAAAAGAGGAUGGUACCCAACAAGGAAGUGACGGCUAACUACGUGCCAGCAGCCCGGUAAUCUGAGCGGGCUGGCAAGGC
rnacentral:rRNA from 1 species